rnacentral:rRNA from 1 species
UACCGUAAGAAUAAGGAUCGGCUAACUCCGUGCCAGCAGCCGCGGUAAUACGGAGGAUCCAAGCGUUAUCCGGAAUCAUUGGGUUUAAAGGGUCCGUAGGCGGUUUUUUAAGUCAGUGGUGAAAUCCGGCAGCUCAACUGUCGAACUGCCAUUGAUACUGUAGGACUUGAAUUAUUGUGAAGUAACUAGAAUAGGUAGUGUAGCGGUGAAAUGCUUAGAUAUUACAUGGAAUACCCAUUGCGAAGGCAGGUUACUAACAAUGGAUUGACGCUGAUGGACGAAAGCGUGGGGGGCGAACAGGAUUAGAUACCCUGGUAGUCCACGCCGUAAACGAUGGAUACUAGCUGUUCGGUUUUCGGACUGAGUGGCUAAGCGAAAGNGAUAAGUAUCCCACCUGGGGAGUACGGGCGCAAGCCUGAAACUCAAAGGAAUUGACGGGGGCCCGCACAAGCGGUGGAGCAUGUGGUUUAAUUCGAUGAUACGCGAGGAACCUUACCAGGGCUUAAAUGUAGGUUGACAGGCUUGGAAACAGGUUUUUCUUCGGACAACUUACAAGGUGCUGCAUGGUUGUCGUCAGCUCGUGCCGUGAGGUGUCAGGUUAAGUCCUAUAACGAGCGCAACCCCUGUCGUUAGUUGCCAGCGAGUCAUGUCGGGAACUCUAACGAGACUGCCAGUGCAAACUGAGAGGAAGGUGGGGAUGACGUCAAAUCAUCACGGCCCUUACGUCCUGGGCUACACACGUGCUACAAUGGCCGGUACAGAGAGCAGCCACUGGGCGACCAGGAGCGAAUCUAUAAAGCCGGUCACAGUUCGGAUCGGAGUCUGCUACCCGACUCCGUGAAGCUGGAAUCGCUAGUAAUCGGAUAUCAGCCAUGAUCCGGUGAAUACGUUCCCGGGCCUUGUACACACCGCCCGUCAAGCCAUGGAAGCUGGGGGUACCUGAAGUUGGUGACCGCAAGG